GGGAAGGUGGCUCAGUGGUAGAGUGCUUGCUUGGUAUGCAUGAGGCCUUGGGUUUGAUUCCUCAUUACCA
rfam:Dipodomys ordii contig_12687, whole genome shotgun sequence.